UAGGCUGAGAGACGCAGGAAAGCGGGUCAAUGUGUAGGGCUGGAGGGCAGGGGCGGGCCCUGGGCCUGGGCUGGGGGUCCUGCCCCGGGGCGCACCCAGGGCGAGGGCUGCCCGGAGGAGCCGAGGCUGGCGGACAGCUUGGCCCUGAGCUUGAGGGGAAGGCAGCGAUGGGACAAAGGACGGAGGUCUAGGAAGAGGGUCUGCAGAGCAGAAAGCACGGGUAGGGGCGGCCUGACGCUCGGAAGACAACGGAUGGGAGCCGUGUGCACGUCGGGAGCUCGGAGUGAGCGCACCAUGACUCCUGUGAGGAUGCAGCACUCCCUGGCAGGUCAGACCUAUGCCGUGCCCCUCAUCCAGCCAGACCUGCGGUGAGAGGAGGCCGUCCAGCAGAUGGCAGAUGCCCUGCAGUACCUGCAGAAGGUCUCUGGAGACAUCUUCAGCAGGAUCUCCCAGCAGGUAGAGCAGAGCCGGAGCCAGGUGCAGGCCAUUGGAGAGAAGGUCUCCUUGGCCCAGGCCAAGAUUGAGAAGAUCAAGGGCAGCAAGAAGGCCAUCAAGGUGUUCUCCAGUGCCAAGUACCCUGCUCCAGAGCGCCUGCAGGAAUAUGGCUCCAUCUUCACGGGCGCCCAGGACCCUGGCCUGCAGAGACGCCCCCGCCACAGGAUCCAGAGCAAGCACCGCCCCCUGGACGAGCGGGCCCUGCAGGAGAAGCUGAAGGACUUUCCUGUGUGCGUGAGCACCAAGCCGGAGCCCGAGGACGAUGCAGAAGAGGGACUUGGGGGUCUUCCCAGCAACAUCAGCUCUGUCAGCUCCUUGCUGCUCUUCAACACCACCUAGAACCUGUACAAGAAGUAUGUCUUCCUGGACCCCCUGGCUGGUGCUGUAACAAAGACCCAUGUGAUGCUGGGGGCAGAGACAGAGGAGAAGCUGUUUGAUGCCCCCUUGUCCAUCAGCAAGAGAGAGCAGCUGGAACAGCAGGUCCCUGAGAACUACUUCUAUGUGCCAGACCUGGGCCAGGUGCCUGAGAUUGAUGUUCCAUCCUACCUGCCUGACCUGCCCGGCAUUGCCAACGACCUCAUGUACAUUGCCGACCUGGGCCCCGGCAUUGCCCCCUCUGCCCCUGGCACCAUUCCAGAACUGCCCACCUUCCACACUGAGGUAGCCGAGCCUCUCAAGGUAGACCUACAAGAUGGGGUACUAACACCACCCCCACCGCCCCCACCACCACCCCCAGCUCCUGAGGUGCUGGCCAGUGCACCCCCACUCCCACCCUCAACCGCGGCCCCUGUAGGCCAAGGCGCCAGGCAGGACGACAGCAGCAGCAGCGCGUCUCCUUCAGUCCAGGGAGCUCCCAGGGAAGUGGUCGACCCCUCCGGUGGCCGGGCCACUCUGCUAGAGUCCAUCCGCCAAGCUGGGGGCAUCGGCAAGGCCAAGCUGCGCAGCAUGAAGGAGCGAAAGCUGGAGAAGAAGAAGCAGAAGGAGCAGGAGCAAGUGAGAGCCACGAGCCAAGGUGGGCACUUGAUGUCGGAUCUCUUCAACAAGCUGGUCAUGAGGCGCAAGGGCAUCUCUGGGAAAGGACCUGGGGCUGGUGAGGGGCCCGGAGGAGCCUUUGCCCGUGUGUCAGACUCCAUCCCUCCUCUGCCGCCACCGCAGCAGCCACAGGCAGAGGAGGACGAGGAUGACUGGGAAUCCUAGGGGGCUCCAUGACACCUUCCCCCCCAGACCCAGACUUGGGCCGUUGCUCUGACAUGGACACAGCCAGGACAAGCUGCUCAGACCUGCUUCCCUGGGAGGGGGUGACGGAACCAGCACUGUGUGGAGACCAGCUUCAAGGAGCGGAAGGCUGGCUUGAGGCCACACAGCUGGGGCGGGGACUUCUGUCUGCCUGUACUUCAUGGGGGGACGGCUCCACCCAGCCUGCGCCACUGUGUUCUUCUCUUAAGAGGCUUCCAGAGAAAACGGCACACCAAUCAAUAAAGAACUGAGCAGAAACCAACAGUGUGCUUUUAAUAAAGGACCUCUAGCUGUGCAGGA
ensembl:lncRNA WASH2P WASP family homolog 2, pseudogene